GAAAAAAGAGGUUGCUGUACACAUUCAUUUAGAGCAAUUCUAUUGGUGAAAUGAAGACAAAAAAAUAAGGUUCCUGCCCCAGCCCUACACGAAUUCAGAUAACAGAAGUGGAUGAAGGAAGCCCGAGUGUCAUCCAUCACAGAGAAAAAGAUUUUUGGGGGGCAGACGCCCGGAUAUUGCCUCCCCCCAGUCUGGUUUACACCCUCCGACACCAUCCUUCAAUACCAGCCACCAUGCUCUGAUUGGGAAUCCUGAACCUUUCACGCAACUAUAUCCAGAACCUUCAGUCAUAUAUUGGAGACCUGCCUGGGGUUUGAACCAGUAACCUCUCAAUCCAGAGGCAAAGCUCAUCCAAUUGAGCCACAGGAUCUCUUGUUCAAUCUGUAUGUUGUUUUAAAGAGCUUUCUAUCUUUUCUUUCUGUAAUUACAAAGGAAUUAAAAGAAAGGUUGCGGUUAGAUUUGAACCUGAG